CCUACGGGAGGCAGCAGUAGGGAAUUUUCCGCAAUGGGCGAAAGCCUGACGGAGCAAUACCGCGUGAGGGAUGACGGCCUGUGGGUUGUAAACCUCUUUUCUCAAGGAAGAAGUUCUGACGGUACUUGAGGAAUAAGCAUCGGCUAACUCUGUGCCAGCAGCCGCGGUAAUACAGAGGAUGCAAGCGUUAUCCGGAAUCACUGGGCAUAAAGCGUCUGUAGGUUGUUUAGUAAGUCUGCUGUUAAAGACUGGGGCUUAACCCCAGAAAAGCAGUGGAAACUGCUAGACUCGAGUGUGGUAGAGGUAGAGGGAAUUCCUAGUGUAGCGGUGAAAUGCGUAGAUAUUAGGAAGAACACCAAUGGCGAAGGCACUCUACUGGGCCAUAACUGACACUGAGAGACGACAGCUAGGGGAGCAAACGGGAUUAGAUACCCCGGUAGUCCUAGCCGUAAACGAUGGAUACUAGAUGUUGCACGUAUUAACCCGUGCAGUAUCGUAGCUAAGGCGUUAAGUAUCCCGCCUGGGAAGUACGCUCGCAAGAGUGAAACUCAAAGGAAUUGACGG
rnacentral:rRNA from 1 species